rfam:Picea glauca, whole genome shotgun sequence.
UCCGUUGUCAUCUAGUCCGGUUAGGUACCUGGUUUUCACCCAGGCGACCCGGGUUCAAAUCCCGGCAACGGAA